rnacentral:rRNA from 1 species
ACCAGACUCCUACGGGAGGCAGCAGUGGGGAAUAUUGGGCAAUGGGCGCAAGCCUGACCCAGCAACGCCGCGUGAAGGAAGAAGGCCCUCGGGUUGUAAACUUCUUUUGCCAGGGACGAAGAAAGUGACGGUACCUGACGAAUAAGCCACGGCUAACUACGUGCCAGCAGCCGCGGUAAUACGUAGGUGGCAAGCGUUAUCCGGAUUUACUGGGUGUAAAGGGCGUGUAGGCGGGACUGCAAGUCAGAUGUGAAAUUCCAGGGCUCAACCCUGGACCUGCAUUUGAAACUGUAGUUCUUGAGUGAUGGAGAGGCAGGCGGAAUUCCGUGUGUAGCGGUGAAAUGCGUAGAUAUACGGAGGAACACCAGUGGCGAAGGCGGUCUGCUGGACAGCAACUGACGCUGAGGCGCGAAAGCGUGGGGAGCAAACAGGAUUAGAUACCCUAGUAC